GGGAGUCACACCUGCACGACCCUUCCUGCAUCCUGCGGUCCUGCCACGCCCCACCUCACCGAGCGUCUCCGGCCACCCCCUGCCGCCGAGCGUCGCCCCCGCGCCUCUGCCUCACCUAGCGCCCGAUCCAGCCGUCGUUCAUCGCCAGCACACGUGGAUCCGGCCGCCCCUCGCCUUCCCCAUCGGCUGCACCUCCUAGCGCCACCGCCCCUGCCAUACUCCGCCGCUGGAGGAUCUCCGCCCUGCCUGGAUCCACAUCCCCGCGGCGACACCGGCAGUCGGCGACGAUGGACGACCACGGUGUAGUGCCCUUGGUCCUCGCCGUCCCCUUGCCUGUAUGUAUAUCUCUGUCAGAUCGAUCACUAUUUUGAUAGGAAUCCACUUCCCGGUGAUAGUUCGUUCCUUCCUGUACCUCAUUCAUGUGUGCAGAUAUGCAAGUAAAAGCGACCAUGGUUCAGGCAUCUGUUGGUUAUUGAAAAAUCUGACAACCGCAAGAGAAUAAGAGCUGCAGACUCAGAGUGUAUGUGAUAUCCCUGCCAGAUUGCUACAGCAUAUUCAUGCAGGUACCCUUCUUGCUGCCUUUUGCACAGUAGCAGGCAAUGCAAUCACAGGCUUGUAAUGCUCUGUUUCUACCGUGUCUUCACUUUCAUCUCAGUGGAGAUUGAAAAUCGAAACCAUGUUAUUCAUGUAGUUACUGAAGUUUCAAAUCCCUCCCUUAGUCAUCAUGUCUGUUUGUAUCCACAAGGGAGCAUGCUCCCGCCAGAUGGUCUCCAUGGCACUGCAUAAAUUUUAUAUUGGAAUGAUGUGUUGGUCAAUUCAUAGAUGGUUUGUGAUAUAAUCAUAUAAAGAUUCUCGCGUUACUUUUCUAGCUCUAUGCUCUCUUUUGUACAGGGGGUCAAUGUUUCUCAGCCUAAUGUUAUUCUUAUCAUUAUGUAUGCUCUAUGAUACAGGUGUUGAGGCAGGGAAAAGGCAGCAGUAGAGGCAUGGGCACUUCAGAAAAGGGUGUUGACUGUUCUGAUUGAGGCCAGGCAUGAAAUCUCUUAUUUCAUUGUUUGUUCUUUGUUGAAGUUGUACUUAUUUUGCAUAGUAUUUCAGGCAAUGUUUAGACUUUAGGUAACACAUGUCCCUAGAUUACAUAGUAUGCAUGCCCUCUGUUACCUGCUGAAUGUCUCUGGGGUAACUAAAAAUGUUCAGAAUAAUCUAAAUUUCAGAAAUUCUUCGUGGAUUAUGAUUGGCAGUUAUAUGCCACCAAAUAGCAAGACUGCUACUUGAACAGUUUGUUAUCCAUGAAGCUUAGGCGUGUACACGGACUAAAUUUGCUAUAAUUUUCCACCAUUUUUUCCUAAGGCCAUCAGAGCCAUUGGCACAGUUUGGCUGCCCUAAGGGAGUACUUUUACCCUUUUUAGUCAAUCAUACACCAGUCACCACAAGUGCAAAUAAUAAUAAAGCACGGAUUGACUCCGUGGGUUCACCGUCACAAUACGCUUCUUCUCGUGAAUUUACGCUUUUAGUUUUUUUAUAAGAUAAUAAAAAGGUUCUCACUUCUAACUAAACAUUUUGUUAAUUUCCAGUUGAAGGCUUCCACGUGCCACCUCCUUCGCCUCCUACGCCGCGUCGAGAAAGGCGGACACGUGCGGUAGGAGCCAAGGGGGAACAGGGAAAGGCGGACACGAGAUUCGUGAACCCAGAGAAGAGAAUGUAUGCGAGCUUGUCCACCUCGGCGGUGUCAGCCGCCAGUGCCACCGUGUCCCGCCUCCGCCUGGCCUGGUCGCAACAAAAGUAUGACUGCAGGUGUGGUUCAUUCAGUUUUGAAGUUUGAUUUACUUGCUUGUGCAUGUGUGUGUGUAUUCUAAGAGAGAGGGAGAGAUUAUUCUGUUCUAGCCAGUCGUAUUUCUGGACAAAUCUGCUCCCCUCCACUCCUUUUUUAUUUGCCUUAAAUCUGAACAUGAAAAGCAGUUACAAAUUGAGAGCAACAGAGUAAACGUUCAAAAGUUCAGAGCGGGUGCAUGCUUUUGAGAUUCAAAGGAUGUGUAAGCUGGAAGAUGGGUUGCCAUGCUUUGUAAGUACGAUUAGUUGGAGUACUAUUCCAUCCAAUGGCAGUGCAAAGUCGAAGUAGGCGCUGACGAAGGACGUUAGGGUCUGUUCUUCACAUCAACACUUCAUUGUCCAAAC
rnacentral:lncRNA from 1 species